UACGUAGGUGGCAAGCGUUGUCCGGAUUUACUGGGCGUAAAGAGCGCGCAGGCGGUCGUUCAAGUCGCGUGUGAAAGCCCCCGGCUCAACUGGGGAGGGUCACGCGAUACUGAUCGACUCGAAGGCAGGAGAGGGAAGUGGAAUUCCCGGUGUAGUGGUGAAAUGCGUAGAUAUCAGGAAGAACACCCGUGGCGAAGGCGGUUCUCUGGGACGGUACUGACGCUGAGACGCGAAAGCGUGGGGAGCGAACAGG
rnacentral:rRNA from 1 species